GGCUCGUUGGUGUAGUUGGUUAUCACGUCAGUCUAACAUAACAUCCUCACAGAUGCUUGUGUUCGUCCACUGAAGGUCCUGAGUUCGAGCCUCAGAUGAGUCA